AACCAUAGAAACCUGCGGAGUACCUGCGGAGGGAUCAUUACCGAGUUUACAACUCCCAAACCCCUGUGAACAUACCUAUACGUUGCCUCGGCGGAUCAGCCCGCGCCCUGUAAAAAGGGACGGCCCGCCCGAGGACCCCUAAACUCUGUUUUUAGUGGAACUUCUGAGUAAAACAAACAAAUAAAUCAAAACUUUCAACAAUGGAUCU
rnacentral:misc_RNA from 1 species